rnacentral:rRNA from 1 species
GAUGAACGCUGGCGGCGUGCCUAAUACAUGCAAGUCGAGCGAACAGACGAGGAGCUUGCUCCUCUGACGUUAGCGGCGGACGGGUGAGUAACACGUGGAUAACCAACCUAUAAGACUGGGAUAACUUCGGGAAACCGGAGCUAAUACCGGAUAAUAUAUUGAACCGCAUGGUUCAAUAGUGAAAGACGGUUUUGCUGUCACUUAUAGAUGGAUCCGCGCCGCAUUAGCUAGUUGGUAAGGUAACGGCUUACCAAGGCAACGAUGCGUAGCCGACCUGAGAGGGUGGUCGGCCACACUGGAACUGAGACACGGUCCAGACUCCUACGGGAGGCAGCAGUAGGGAAUCUUCCGCAAUGGGCGAAAGCUUGACGGAGCAACGCCGCGUGAGUGAUGAAGGUCUUCGGAUCGUAAAACUCUGUUAUUAGGGAAGAACAAAUGUGUAAGUAACUAUGCACGUCUUGACGGUACCUAAUCAGAAAGCCACGGCUAACUACGUG